CUCCUUCUUCUCCGUGUCCGUCGCGAGCCAGUAGGAAGCGCUGCUCAGAGCUCACGUGGCUCUCCCGAGCAACAACAACACGAGCCAUGUGUCGUCCGUCCUCCGAGCGCGCGCCCAUGCGAGUUAUUUUGCAGAGGGAAGAGAGAAAACAGAAGAAGCCUGCUUUCAAUUACCCAGGCAGCCGGAGCCAGUCCUGACUUCCCUGGGGCCCUAGACAACAGCUCUUCAACAGGGCCAGAGUCAGGAUCAGGACCAGGACCAGGAUCAGGACCAGGACUGGACCAGGAUCAAGACCUGGACCAGGGCCCCCAUAACCUCUGAACCUGACGGUCCAACCCUCCAACUAUUAAAAUAAUGAUAAUAUAA